UACGUAGGGUGCGAGCGUUUGUCCGGAAUUAUUGGGCGUAAAGGGCUCGUAGGCGGUCUGUCGCGUCGGGAGUGAAAACUCAGGGCUUAACCCUGAGCUCGCUCCGAGUACGGGCAGACUAGAGGUAUGCAGGGGAGAACGGAAUUCCUGGUGUAGCGGUGAAAUGCGCAGAUAUCAGGAGGAACACCGGUGGCGAAGGCGGUUCUCUGGGCAUUACCUGACGCUGAGGAGCGAAAGUGUGGGGAGCGAACAGG
rnacentral:rRNA from 1 species